GGGGCUGUAACUCAGUGGUAGAGUGCCUCGUUUGCAAUAUCAACAUCUUGAAAAGGAUCAGUUGAUAGAGUUCGAUGAAGUCCAGGGUUCGACUCCCUGCCGCUCCA